rnacentral:miRNA from 1 species
ACAAAGAGCUGUGGUAGAAAGU